UUUUACAUAUAUCCAGUCAUGGACACUAAAAAAUAGUGUUAAAUCUGUCGCCUAAUGAAAAUGAAGGUGUGCUUUUAAAAUUUGUGCUUUUUAAUUUUUAAAAAAAAUCCAACCGAAAGAUAUUCAAUCUAAUUUAUUAUACAGCGAAUAAGAGGUUUCAUUUAGGACAGGGGUGGGCAGACUUUUCCAGGGUAAGGGUACGGGCUACUUCUAAUUUUUUUAAGGUGCUGAGGUCCACCCAGUGGCGUAUGUGUGGUGGGCUAGAAAAAAGGGUCUACAAUAUUUAUUACAACUUAAUAAUAAAUACGGAAUUAGUUCUUACCUACAUUACUAUAAAUAUAAUAAUAGCACGAUGCAAAAAUAAUAAUAAUAGCCCCAAAUAUAAUAAUAUCAAAUGACGCAUUUAAUAUCAAACAAUUCAAAAUACAUUAGAAAAUAAAUCAUUUUCAUCUAAAGUUAGUUCUCGUAGUUGUAGUUAGUCAAUCUUAGUCUGCAUACUAUCUGCCAAUCUUGAAUAUCUCGGUAUAUAAUUACUAACUGCUAAUCUUGAACUGGAUUCUAAGUGAUCGCCUGUGAAACGGGAACGAUAUGGUUGUUUUAAUUAUAUUCAUCGUUCAAAACGCAGAUUCACACAGGUAGAUAAAGCAAAAGAACGGUGUUAAAUGAUAUGGAACUUUUUGAAAAUUAAAAUAUUUGACUUCGUCCAUUAGAUUCCAAAAGUUAUUCUUAGACUCUGAACUAGGUGCUUUUAAAAUUAUUUCCUUUUAAAAGAGAAAAACUUCGUUUUCCUUAAGAAAUAAAUGAAUAUAUAAUUUAUAUUUUCAGUUAUUGCUUCCACAUCAGGAUUGCCAAAUGGGUACCGCAAGAAUGUAACAAUUGGUUUCUUUUUGUAUGCGCAUCUUAGGUCUUAGUAAACGCGGUCACCCUAAAAUGUCUAAGUGGUCCACCGGUCGUUAGCAAUCGACUUAAUGCUUAUUAGUUUGAUAAACGACCGCAGUGCCCCAAUCGCAGUUUUCAAAACUACGAACCGGAAUCAUCGCCGCCAUGUUGUUCGUGCUAAGCCUAGUUCUGUACGGUUAAGACGAGACGUGAUAAGCAUAAUAUUAUGUAUUUUGUACAUUAAUUGGUAUUUUAAUAUUAUUUAAUAUAAAUUUCCCUAUUAUUUUCCCCCUUAGAUUUGUUUGUUUUACUGCUAUUUUUUUUCCCUGUGUACUCUUUUGGCUUGUUUUUUCAGAACAAGGAAGAUGUUUUAGAUGGAUGUUAAUCUUAGGCAUAUGAAAAAGCCGUUAAGAAAAAGGAAACCAAAAUGUUCUAUUUAGGAAUUUCUCUAAUAAAGAAAAUUUCGAAAAAAUGAAUUUUAGACAUACAUUUCGUUUUUGCUUCCAGUGUAUAGAACUGUCGUUUCUGGAACUGAAUCACUCAGUUGCAGCUGCCUUGAAUUUGCAUUUGCUGAAAUUUAAGAACAAUGAACCUUUCCUGCACAACUUUCCUAUGUAAAGC